UACGUAGGGGGCGAGCGUUACCCGGAUUUACUGGGCGUAAAGCGCGUGUAGGCGGCUGGUCAAGCGUGGUGUGAAAUCUCCGGGCUCAACCCGGAAACUGCAUUGCGAACUGACCUAGCUGGAGUGCAGGAGAGGGCAGCGGAAUUCCCGGUGUAGCGGUGAAAUUCGUAGAUAUUCGGAAGAACACCAGUGGCGAAGGCGGCUCACUGGACUGGUAUUGACGCUGAGGUGCGAAAGCGUGGGGAGCAAACAGG
rnacentral:rRNA from 1 species